AGUGUCAAAGUGCAGGGGAAAGUAUCGGCUAGAAAGGGAUCCUUUCGGGCUAGAAUGCUAACGCACGUGGGAGGAAAUUCUCGGCUAGCUCGGGAGGGGCUUUAUAAAGAACUCGAAAAGAAUUGCAGACAAGAAAUUUUCGGUUUCGUUUGUGGCUGUUAGGGAAGACUGAGAAAAAGCAGAAGUUUUUCGUACUUUGUCGAGUCACGUGCAGGGUGAAGCAUGAAUGGGGCUGGAGCAAGGUGCGGCAGGUGCGGGGUGGUGGAUGCUUCUCCCUUCUUCGGAAGGUAUCAGGCCGGUGAUUAUUUCUCGCAGCACAGAGAAGCCCACGCAGGCUCCCGCGACUAUGAAGGUUUGGGUCUGGAGGACUUGGAGGGCCCGGCGUCGUCCUCAGGACAGCAGCACCUCUCUAGUCUGGGUGCAUACGUUGUGAUACCUCCAAAUCCAGCAAGGAGGAAUCGGUUACAGAAAAUUGCUAAUAAAGAGUUGGAAGACCUGGCAAAAUUGAAGGAACAGUACAAGCCAGGACUAAUUAACCUGACACCCCAGAAACUGGGUGGAAGAAUAUCAGAGGCUGAAGUGAGGCAAAAACAGCAACUUGAGCACAUCCAAUCUAAAUACCAGCAAAAGGCCAAUAAACUUGAAGAAAAACAAAGGCAACAAGAAUGGCAAAGACAGCAGAUGCUUGAUGAAGACCACCACUUAAAAACCACUGAAUUCUUGAAGAGAUUGGAUAUAAGCCCAUGCAGGAGAACACCCUGUCAAACAGACCAUCAUAACCUCAAAUCUACAGCCUGGACCAGAAGCCAGUCAUAUAAGCAAAUCCAAAGACAAGAAGAAAACAGAAAACUGCAGGAGAUGAAGGAAGAGCAACGAAGAAAGGCUGAAUUGUUGGAACUUAAACAAAGGCAAGAAGAAAGAAUAAGAAUGAAAGCACAUCAGAAUGAGCAGCGGAGGGUAAAUAAUGAAUUUCUGGACAGACUGCAAAACAGUUGUCAGCCAGGUGGCAUGUACCAAUCUGGACGUCGUGGGAAUAUGGAUUUUAGUGCUGACAGCUGGAUAAAGCUAACAUGAAAUUGGUCAGGAGCGGGCGUGCAGGCAAUCUAUUGUUUUCUCCCAUGGCUGAGGAACCUGAAUAUUUCCAGUAAAAUGUGAACUAUAGAAUGAAACUGGAGAGGAUUCAUGUCAGCGCUUGGAGAAUUUACCUUCAGGGAUCCAUUCUCUCUCUCCCCCUCCCCGCACCAAUCUCUCCUCACUUGUUUCAUCCUUGCUUGUUUGACCUGCCUGCCUCUCUCCAAAAUAAGUAUUUCAAACUAUUGAUUAUAGUACCGAAAUAGCAGAGAAAUGGUUUCUCUCAUAGCUUGUCUUGCUUGCUGUAGUAGUCUUGGAUCUCUUGGAAGUUUUUGUCCUUGUCUGUGGAAAUGGCAGUAACUUGUUUGUACUACUUUGACUAACAAACCAUCUGAGUUGCAGAAGUUUUGAAGUUCUGUGUGCCAAUGUACAUGUUCAUUUUUAAUGUAGUUCUGAGAGAGAGAGAGAGAGAGGAAUGAUUAUACUGUGUAUUGUAACUGGUUCUCAUUCAAAUCUUUUAUAAUGCUUUUCCACAUUAAAAUAUUACAUAAAUAAAAGCUUUAAAUAUGUUUUGAAA